AGAUUGAACGCUAGCGGGAUGCUUUACACAUGCAAGUCGAACGGCAGCGCGGACUUCGGUCUGGCGGCGAGUGGCGAACGGGCGAGUAAUAUAUCGGAACGUGCCCAGUAGCGGGGGAUAACUACGCGAAAGCGUGGCUAAUACCGCAUACGCCCUACGGGGGGAAAGGGGGGAUUCUUCGGAACCUCUCACUAUUGGAGCGGCCGAUAUCAGAUUAGCUAGUUGGUGAGGUAAAGGCUCACCAAGGCGACGAUCUGUAGCUGGUUUGAGAGGACGACCGAGCCACACGUGGGACUGAGACACGGCCCAGACUCCGUACGGAGGCAGCAGGUGGGGAAUUUGGACAAGUCGGGGGAAACCCUGAUCCAGCCAUCCCGCGUGUGCGAUGAACGGCCUUGGGUUGUAAACGCACCGUUUAGGCGAGGGAAA
rnacentral:rRNA from 1 species